GAGUUGCACAGUACCCGUCAAUCUGCCAGCCUAACAUACGCGAGUUCAGUUAUUGAAAAGGUAAAACACCAUUGCCAGGGGCAUUUUCCCUAAAUAGCAACCUUCAGAAGAGACUUGCAGCUGGUGUGCCAAUGUAUAGAAGAUAGAUUCUUGGGUGUUUAACACUCAUGAAUUCAAGUUUUACAGCAUCCCCCAAGUAGGAGAUAGAAGGAGUCCCCAGCUGAUAACCGGGCUCUGAAGCCAGUGGCCAAGCACCGGAGCCCAAGUCUUUAUUUUCUACACUUGGUGGCUUUGUGACAGCUCUUGAAAUGUACAGGCCCAGAAGUUGAGAACUGCUGCUUUAGGGGAUCGGCAUGCUUCCUUCAGGGAACCUUGUUCUGGCUGGCCGAGUGGUUUGAAUUUCAUGGGCGAUGUUAGAGCCACAGCACAGAGUGGAGCCCAAACUGGGCAGUUACCUUGGCCAAGAGCACAAAGGCUCCACCACCCUGCACAGCGGGGUGAGAAGCAGAGCGGCAGCCGCUUCUGUUUCUGAAGAAACAUCUCAACACUGGCUUUCUAAUAGGAGCAUCAGCUUCACUUACACCAAGCAUGUCAGACUCGUGGCCCGAGGGUCGAAUG